AUGCAAAGUCGAGCGAGCGGAACCAACAGAUUUACUUCGGUAAUGACGUUGGGAAAGCGAGCGGCGGAUGGGUGAGUAACACGUGGGGAACCUGCCCCUAAGUCUGGGAUACCAUUUGGAAACAGGUGCUAAUACCGGAUAAUAAAGCAGAUCGCAUGAUCAGCUUUUGAAAGGCGGCGUAAGCUGUCGCUAAGGGAUGGCCCCGCGGUGCAUUAGCUAGUUGGUAAGGUAACGGCUUACCAAGGCGACGAUGCAUAGCCGAGUUGAGAGACUGAUCGGCCACAUUGGGACUGAGACACGGCCCAAACUCCUACGGGAGGCAGCAGUAGGGAAUCUUCCACAAUGGACGCAAGUCUGAUGGAGCAACGCCGCGUGAGUGAAGAAGGUUUUCGGAUCGNAAAGCUCUGUUGUUGGUGGAGAAGGAUAGAGGUAGUNACUGGCCUUUAUUUGACGGUAAUCAACCNGAAAGUCACGGCUAACUAC
rnacentral:rRNA from 1 species